AGUGGAUUGCACCUGUCCACCUUCCAUGUGACUUCUGAAGUUCUUCAGGAGAGGAAGGGAAAUAUUUCCCUGAAAAUAUUCUCUGAAAAUGGCAGAAUCCAGUCAUACUCCUCUGUGCGGUUAGAGGAAAAAUGGGGAAUCACAAGAAUCCUGGAAGAUGAGCAGAGGAUGGAGAACCCAGUAGAAAUCCCAGGGCUACAGUUUCCCUGCCAAGAUGGGGACCUGAUUGCUGCCUGGGACCAAGGGAAGAGAGGAAAAAGUGGAGAACAAUAGAAGAAGCAUUUGAUGACAUCUCUGUCACUUUUGUUGACAAAUAACAUUAUCCCAGGAUAGUCCUUUUAUAGUCAUGGUCCAGAGUAUAAGUAAAGAUGCUUAGAUUGGGCGGGAGUCCCAG
rnacentral:lncRNA from 1 species